AAGUAGAGGUGAUACGCCUAACGAGCCUGAUGAUAGCUGGUUGUCCAGAAAAUGAAUAUUAGUUCAUAUUUCUGGUAUUUUUAAAGUUGA